GACGUAGGAGGCGAGCGUUAUCCGGAUUCACUGGGCGUAAAGCGCAUGUAGGCGGUUCGAUAAGUCCGCUGUUAAAGCCCCCGGCUCAACUGGGGGAGGUCAGUGGAGACUAUAGGACUUGAGGGCAACAGAGGCACGUGGAACUCCCGGUGUAGCGGUGGAAUGCGUAGAGAUCGGGAAGAACACCAGUGGCGAAGGCGACGUGCUGGGUUGCGACUGACGCUGAGGCACGAAAGCGUGGGGAGCAAACAGG
rnacentral:rRNA from 1 species